rnacentral:lncRNA from 1 species
CCAUUUAUUUCCUCUUGAUUGCAUAGGUUCUUUGACAAUCUGAUUUUGAUUUCUUGAAUGUUUGUAGACUCAAUGAUGGUUGAUCUUGUUAGCUACAGAUGAUAUUCCCUGUUUCGAACAAGAUUGAAUUUUGAUGGACUGCAUAUAGUGUUUGAUUCUCCUACACCGUGCCCUGAAUGAUCUUAUGUUCACCCAGACUUAUAGGUUUCUAAAUACUAGGCUCAUGGGACUUAAUUCUAAUGGUUAGUUUUUUUGGAUUCAUGUACUCUGGUGCUGCAGCCUACGUAAAACUCCUUCACAAUAGUGUUUAAAGCUUAAAUUGAUAACUCUAUCAGAGUUCAAGCAUUAGGCUCUCUGCUCUGUGUAUUGCCAAGUGUUCUAUAUAAUGCUUUGAUGUUCUUUUGUCACUGUUUGAUGUUCUGCCUUGGGUAGCCUCUGUCUUGGUUUACAGCUCCAUAUGGCAACCUAUGUAUACCUAUGUAGGUUUUGUUUGAACUGUACUCAAAUCACCCAUAUGUUUCCAUAGUCUUGCCUUCCUCUUUUUAACUCAUGAGAUUACUAGAUAGUUGAAUAUCAUCCUAAAAUCUAAAAAGUGCACGCACACUUCUUCGUAGGAACGGGCGGCCGGCUUGUUACUCACAUGUGUACUUCCUCUCUCUCAGUUUACAGGGCGUGCGCGUACCCCUAGGUCGUCAAUUUGACUAACCUAAUACAAGUCAUAUAUUACAAAAAAUAUACCAAUAUAAACUUCAGAUGUUCUAUUUUCAAAAGGUAUAAUUUUUGUGUUAUAUAGUUUAUAUUAGGGUGAUAAAAUUGGUAACCUAGGUAUACGCGUAGGACUUAUAAACUGUGAUGGAGGGAGUAUCUUUUUUUGUCAGUUAGUGAAUGUUUUUUGUUAGUAUUAAAUGCGUAUAGACUAGUCUGAGAAACAGAUUCAGGCACAUUUAUUUUGGCCUCUUAAAUUUUUUAAAAGUCAUAUCUUUUAAACCACACGUCGGAAUUCAGAUCCAUUUUCACUGUUGGAUUCAUCGCGACGAGAUCUUCGAAACUAGAUCCCGCAUGAGUAUGUUUCGACAAAAAAAUUUUGAUGCCAACUUUGAUGCUAUAUGAUGCAACUAAAGUACUGCAUUGUGCAACUUUAGUACUACAUGAUGCAACUUUUUUUAAACCAACUUUAGUACUACAUGGCUUGUAAUUUAGUCUAGUUGCACACAUAUUGAUGUUUAGUUGGCUUAUAAUGUAGUCUAGUUGCACACACAUUGAUGUUUAGUUGCCAGAAGGACUAGUUGCACACACAUAUGCUCAGUUGGCUUGUAAUUUAGUCUAGUUGCACACACAUUAAUAUUUAGUUGGCAGGACACUAGUUGCACACACACAUAUGCGCAAUUGACGCGACAAUGUAGUUUAGUUGCACACACAUUGAUAUUUAGUUGACAGGACUAGUUACACACAUAUAUGCUCAGUUAGCGCGGCAAUGUAGUCUAGUUGCACACACAUUGACAUUUAGUUGGCAGGAAGACUAGUUCGUCAAAACAACCCCAUAUGGGAUCUACUUUUGAAGAACACGUCGCGAGGGUUUCAACGAUGAAAACGAAUCUAAAUUUCGACACACGGAUUGAAAGUAUGCCUUUUUAAAAUUUUAAAAUCACAAAAUAAAUACGAACAAACACAUGCACAUGCAUAUGCAUGCACAAGAGGAGAUGCAUAUGCUAGCAUUUAAUACGUAGCAGGAAAAUGGACUAUUAAACCAAAUCUGUAGCAUAGACAGAAAUAAUACGUGCACACAAUUUAGAAUUUAGGCCGGCCGCUCGGUACGGCUACUGAGCAGCCGGCCGCUCGCUAGACUUGCCCGAAUAUCAUUGGUCUCUGUCGGCAUUCUAUUUUCGUAGUUUGAAAUGAAUAUUGGUCUAUUGAUAUUAAACUUCACAAUAGGUAGUGGCAUCUUCAGGAAAAAGUAGUGGCAGACAUGCUGGAAAUUUCUUUUCUACUGCAGGAAUGACACUUGCCCAAAUCCUCAACACAUAUUUUUGUGCUCUCAACCAAAUGUGUGUGCUAUGAUAAUUAAGGUUACCAAGAUGAAUGGUGUUUCUAUAGGGCCGGACAUAUUUCUUAUCUUCAUAAAUCAGUGAUGCACAGAUUAUCUUAGCUAUAUUGUGAAUCUUGAUAACCUCACGAUGAACAAAUUUUGCGGCCUGUAUUUGGGAUAAUUCAAAUUGUUGCGAAAUGUGUUCGUCCAGGAAAAGUCACUACAUCAUAUGUCCUAGAUAAAUCUUUACUGAACAUUUUAGUUUUCCUCAUACAUGCUUAUCAUUUGGCAUAAUGUUAUUUUGCGAGCUUAAUUCUACCCUGAAUAUACAAACAAUCAGUUUGUUUAUUUUUUUUGCUGUCAUAAUAAGACCCUGAAACCAUCUUCCAUCAAACACAUAUCUGUAGUAUCUAUACUAUGUACAAGGUGCAGAUAGAUAUAUUUGUUGACCAAGCAAUUCCCCUCUUUUGAGACAAAGACCAAUAUAUGAUUACCCAUCCCCUGGUUUCCUUUCUAUUUUUUAUUCCAAUAUAACAUGAUGAGCUAUUCGUUGUUUUCUAAUUUCAGUGUAAUCUAAAAUCAGACUGUGCGAACAUAGAUGCAUUUAUUCACAAAUUAGCAAGCACCUGAGUGAAGAACCCUUAAAAUGUAUGGAAAAUGCAAUUACCACCGGCAAAUAAAUUGGCAUUUGUAUUCCAGGUAACAGUCCCGAAAAGAAAGAGGACUAUGGACCUGAGUGGGAAUGGAGGCAGGAUAUUCUUCUGGAUGGCUAUGUUGAGGUGGUGGUUGGUCCGAUCCAUGGUGUACGCAAAAUCGGUCAGCAUGGUGGAGUUGUGCUGUGGGGAGGACACUGGUUUGGAGAUCUAGGCGACUAUCUGCGUGCUGGGUGGAUCAGUAGCCCACCUCGGGAUAGAGGCAAGCGGCGCUUCACGUGUGCCUCGCCAUGCCACAACAGUGGCGUUGACAAUGUUUAAUCCUAAGACCACUAUUUUUGUGUCUAUAUGCAGUGUUCACUUUGUCUAUAUCUUGGCAAUGUUUAAUCAUAAAACCACUAAUUCUGUGUCUAUAUGCAGUGUUCACUUCAUCUAUAUCAUAUUUAUUUUAUAUGGCAAAUCAUCUUUCGAAAUUAACCAAGCCUAACUACACACUAGGAAUAUGGUGAAAACUAAUAUGAAACAACAACUUUUGUCACAUAUACCAAACCAAG